rnacentral:rRNA from 1 species
GCAAGUCGCACGAGAAAGUGGAGCAAUCCAUGAGUACAGUGGCGCACGGGUGAGUAACACGUGAAUCAUCUACCUUCGAGUGGGGAAUAACUGGGAGAAAUCUCAGCUAAUACCGCAUAAUACCUACGGGUCAAAGCAGCAAUGCGCUUGAAGAGGAGUUCGCGGCAGAUUAGUUAGUUGGCGGGGUAAUGGCCCACCAAGACGAUGAUCUGUAUCCGGCCUGAGAGGGCGCACGGACACACUGGGACUGAAACACGGUCCAGACUCCUACGGGAGGCAGCAGUGGGGAAUUUUGCGCAAUGGGGGAAACCCUGACGCAGCAACGCCGCGUGGAGGAUGAAAUCCCUUGGGAUGUAAACUCCUUUCGAUCGGGACGAUUAUGACGGUACCGGAAGAAGAAGCCCCGGCUAACUUCGUGCCAGCAGCCGCGGUAAUACGAGGGGGGCAAGCGUUGUUCGGAAUUAUUGGGCGUAAAGGGCGCGUAGGCGGUUUGACAAGUCUGAUGUGAAAUCUGUGGGCUCAACCCACAGCCUGCAUUAGAAACUGUCGGGCUUGAGUAUGGGAGAGGCGAGUGGAAUUUCCGGUGUAGCGGUGAAAUGCGUAGAUAUCGGAAGGAACACCUGUGGCGAAAGCGGCUCACUGGACCAUAACUGACGCUGA